rnacentral:rRNA from 1 species
UACGUAGGGUGCAAGCGUUGUCCGGAAUUAUUGGGCGUAAAGAGCUCGUAGGCGGUUUGUCGCGUCUGCUGUGAAAACGCGAGGCUCAACCUCGCGCCUGCAGUGGGUACGGGCAGACUAGAGUGCGGUAGGGGAGAAUGGAACUCCUGGUGUAGCGGUGGAAUGCGCAGAUAUCAGGAAGAACACCGAUGGCGAAGGCAGCUUGCUGGGACGGUACUGACGCUGAGGCGCGAAAGCGUGGGGAGCAAACAGG